GUAGGUGGCAAGCGUUGUCCGGAAUUAUUGGGCGUAAAGCGCGCGCAGGUGGUUCUUUAAGUCUGAUGUGAAAGCCCCCGGCUCAACCGGGGAGGGUCAUUGGAAACUGGGGAACUUGAGUGCAGGAGAGGAAAGUGGAAUUCCAUGUGUAGCGGUGAAAUGCGUAGAUAUGUGGAGGAACACCAGUGGCGAAGGCGACUUUCUGGCCUGUAACUGACACUGAGGCGCGAAAGCGUGGGGAGCAAACAGGGAUUAGAUACCCUGGUAGUCCACGCCGUAAACGAUGAGUGCUAAGUGUUGGGGGGGUUUCCCGCCCCUCAGUGCUGCAGCUAACGCAUUAAGCACUCCGCCUGGGGAGUACGGUCGCAAGACUG
rnacentral:rRNA from 1 species